rnacentral:miRNA from 1 species
CUCGGAUUACAGGUAUGAACCA